rnacentral:rRNA from 1 species
CCUACGGGGGGCAGCAGUGAGGAAUAUUGGUCAAUGGGCGGAAGCCUGAACCAGCCAAGUCGCGUGAGGGAAUAAGGCCCUACGGGUCGUAAACCUCUUUUGCCGGGGAGCAAGGGCGGGGACGUGUCCCGGCCCGGAGAGUACCCGGAGAAAAAGCAUCGGCUAACUCCGUGCCAGCAGCCGCGGUAAUACGGAGGAUGCAAGCGUUGUCCGGAAUCAUUGGGCGUAAAGAGUUCGUAGGCGGUAUGUUAAGUCUGGUGUUAAAUGCAGAAGCUCAACUUCUGUUCGGCACUGGAUACUGGCAA